CCUACGGGAGGCAGCAGUGGGGAAUAUUGCACAAUGGGGGAAACCCUGAUGCAGCGACGCCGCGUGAAGGAAGAAGUAUUUCGGUAUGUAAACUUCUAUCAGCAGGGAAGAAAAUGACGGUACUUGACUAAGAAGCCCCGGCUAACUACGUGCCAGCAGCCGCGGUAAUACGGAGGGGGCAAGGGUAAUCCGGAUUUAAUGGGUGUAAAGGGAGCGUAGGCGGCGAUGCAGGUCAGAAGUGAAAGCCCGGGGAUCAACUACGGGACUGCUUUUGAAACUGUAUGGCUAGAUUGCAGGAGAGGCAAGUGGAAUGCCUAGUGUAGCGGUGAAAUGCGUAGAUAUUAGGAGGAACACCAGUGGCGAAGGCGGCUUGCUGGACUGUAAAUGACGCUGAGGCUCGAAAGCGUGGGGAGCAAACAGGAUUAGAUACCCCAGUAGUC
rnacentral:rRNA from 1 species